GGAGCGUCCAGGAGGCGGGGCUUAACACCAGCUGUCAAUCAGUACGUUUGCCUGGUGGUCUGCGUUCCCGUAGCUGCUCAAAAUAAGAGGACAAAAUAAAACUAAGGCUCCUGCAAAGUAGCUGCUGUUGUUACCAACGUUUUACUAAUGAGGGAACAUUUUACUGAUGAGGACUUGAGCUGUCUUGAUAGCGACAGGGGCUGUGUUGUACUCUCAAGACUGGAAGCUGCCUGCCUCUUCACGACUGAGCUUGCCAUAAAGCAGGUUUGGAGCUUACCCCCAGCAACAACUGGGAAGGAUCAAAAACAGACACUUCCGGAGCAACUACAAAGGCAGUCCAUGAUUUGAGUACUUUCCAUGAAAUUACUCGUUUAAUUCACAACAGUCCUCUGAGUGUAGUAAGAGUAGAAGAAGAAUGAAUGAAUGAAUCUUCUGGAAACCCUCACAACUUCCCAAUGGAGUAAGCAGAGUUCAAAUUGUUAUCUCCAGACUCUCUGGGUCCAAUCCCAGUUCUGUCACUCACCAGCUACUUCCUAGGGCAAGUUAUAUAACCUCUGUAUGUGCCUCAGUCUUUAUCCCGAAAAAUGAGGACAAUACUAUCUACCUCAGAGUUAUUUUAAGGAUUUAGUGGAUUAAUAAUUAUAAAAUGCCCAGAACUGUGUCUUGUACGCAGUGAGUGUUAUGUAAGUGUUGAUGAGAAUAAUAAUUCUGUUUUCUAUAUGAAUAGAAGAAAUUCGGAGAAGAACAAUUACUUACCCAAAGACACAUCAUUGAUAAGUAAAAGAACACUUUUGUUCUGGGGCUGUUCCAGUUUUGCAGCAGAGAGAAGGGUAGUUAUAUGGCUAAUCAAAUGUUGUCUUGCAAAAGAAGGAGGCUAGCAUCUAAGAGUGGCAGGCAGGCAUAUUGGAACUUGGAACUUUGAUGUCUGACUUGACUUCCUCUUGGUAGUUGUUGGUUUUUCACCGAACUGCCUAUUAACAUUCAUGCACCAGUUUACUCUUUCCUUGAAUACAAAUUUUUGAAGGCUCCAGAUGCAAACAACCUGGUCUGCAUAGCUGUGACCCACACUAACUGUAUAACUUUGGACACUGCURAGCUUCAAAUCCCUCAUCUGCAAAACAGGGAUAAAAUGAAAUUGCUCUGAAAAUUCAA